rnacentral:rRNA from 1 species
CAAAGGAAUUGACGGGGCCGCACAAGCGGCGGAGCAUGCGGAUUAAUUCGAUGCAACGCGAAGAACCUUACCAAGGCUUGACAUACACCGGUAACGCCCAGAGAUGGGUGCCCCUUUGUGGUCGGUGGACAGGUGGUGCAUGGUUGUCGUCAGCUCGUGUCGUGAGAUGUUGGGUUAAGUCCCGCAACGAGCGCAACCCUCGUCCUAUGUUGCCAGCGGGUCAUGCCGGGGACUCAUGGGAGACUGCCGGGGUCAACUCGGAGGAAGGUGGGGAUGACGUCAAAUCAUCAUGCCCCUUAUGUCUUGGGCUUCACGCAUGCUACAAUGGCCGGUACAAAGGGCUGCGAUACCGCGAGGUGGAGCGAAUCCCAGAAAGCCGGUCUCAGUUCGGAUUGGGGUCUGCAACUCGACCCCAUGAAGUCGGAGUCGCUAGUAAUCGCGGAUCAGCAUGCCGCGGUGAAUACGUUCCCGGGCCUU